rnacentral:rRNA from 1 species
CCUACGGGAGGCUGCAGUAGGGAAUAUUGGUCAAUGGGCGGAAGCCUGAACCAGCCAUGCCGCGUGCAGGAAGAAGGCCCUCUGGGUUGUAAACUGCUUUUGACAGGGAACAAGUCGGCCAUGCGUGGCUAAGUGAGUGUACCUGUAGAAUAAGCCACGGCUAACUACGUGCCAGCAGCCGCGGUAAU